UAAUACGAAGGGGGCAAGCGUUGUUCGGAAUUACUGGGCGUAAAGGGCGCGUAGGCGGCCUGUUGCGUCGGGUGUGAAAGCCCCGGGCUCAACCUGGGAGGUGCACUCGAGACGGGCGGGCUGGAAUCCGGAAGAGGAUGGUGGAAUUCCCAGUGUAGAGGUGAAAUUCGUAGAUAUUGGGAAGAACACCGGUGGCGAAGGCGGCCAUCUGGUCCGGUAUUGACGCUGAGGCGCGAAAGCGUGGGGAGCAAACAGGAUUAGAUACCCUGGUAGUCCACGCCGUAAACGAUGUGCGCUAGCCGUUGGCCAGCUUGCUGGUCGGUGGCGCAGCUAACGCAUGAAGCGCACCGCCUGGGGAGUACGGCCGCAAGGUUA
rnacentral:rRNA from 1 species